CCUUCUACAGACCAGGUUGCUCAGAGCUCCAUUCCAGCCUGGAAGGGAGGGAGGUCUGAGCAGCUCCUCCGUGUGUGUGCACAGGAACUCUACAUUUUCCACACUUUUCCAUGUUCAUUUCAACAACCACUUCAGUGUGACUUUCUCCCUUUACAUAUUUCCUGUUAUAAACUUGGCCAAAAUGAAUUUGAAAAACUUUCAGGGGGUUCUGGUAUUUAGAGACUCAGUGCUGAACCAUUUUGUGAAAAUCAGUUUUCUAUGCAAUGUUAUUAACACAAAGAUGAAGGCACUGCAAAAACUAUCCAGGUUACAGCAAGAUGCUCUGCUAAUGAAUCAUCACUGAGCAGCUGCAUUUGCAUAACGGAGGGAAGAUGAGGCACCACACAGCGAGGGCAGCCGCUAAUUUAUGAACAGGAGACCAGAUUCAUUUUUUUACAACAUUUUUUUUCCAUUUAUAUUUUUAUAUGUCAAUGUAAAAAUGUUUCCAUGGAGACUGUAAAGGUUUUUAUUAAAAGGUCGAUAAUAUACCUCCUACAUAAUAAUUUAA